AACAAAGUAAAUUAUUUUGGAUUCUAAAUUUACAAUAAACAAAGGGUGGAUGACUAUAUACCUCAUAACUUAAUAAAACCAAACCAAGAAGACACUGAAGGAAUUAAAUGGCUUCACAUUUUUAAAGCACUUUUAUCUUUUUCAAGACACUUUAAAAUUGUCAUUUUAUCCACUCAACAAUCGAAGAAAUUGACACUUAGUGCUAAUUGUUUCAUCCUUCCUGGUUCCCAUGACCCAGACACCUUACAAACUACCAUUUUUGUUUAGACCAUUGCCCUUGUCUAUUUAUAUGACUCAAGAAAUAAUCUUCUUAUUCCUCUUAUCCACAUAAACUCAAAACCUCUUCUAUUUGAUUCUUAUUCAUGUUUCUCCUCUGAAUAAUUUUAAAUCCUUGUUUUUGUUUAUUUUUCUUUACCUUCUCAGAUGAUUUUGAACUUGAAAUAAAUUGAGGCCAACACUUUGUGUUGUUGAUGAACAAAGAAAAGAUCCUCCAGAGAAAUUAAGUAAAUUGCCUGAAAUCACAAAUAGUAGAGUCCAAAAUGUUGCAACUAUCAUGUGGCUUCCUAAUGAUAAAAUAAUGAUCUAAUCUGAGUCUAUAUUUAUCCAACAGAACUUUAUUCUCUUAGAGCCACCAAGCUGUCUGUUAAAAGAAUAUGAUAAAAAUUAAGACAAAUUAUGAAACCACCUUUGCAAAAAUUAAAAUAGUGAGAAAAUAAUAGCAGUGAAAGAGAUUUGAUUUAACCAACCCCUGAUCUUUCCUUUAGCCUUCAAACUGGCCUUAAUUAUUCCUGGGCUUGGGCCAAGAUAACUCUGGGAGACAUUUAGUUUAUAUUUUAAAUGAUAAUAGCCCUUCUCCAAAACUCAACAGCCUUUGUAAAGUUAAUGACAGACUACCAGGCUAGGAGGAUGAGAGAAGCCUGAAUUUUGCUAAGGUGUAGACGUAAACUAUUGCCAGCCAUUAUUUGGGAGGUCACAAGCUACACAACUUCCCUGAUUACUCCUGCAGAUAACAUCACAAUUGCAGAACCUAAGAUUGGUCUUUUGAGAUGUCUUUUCAGGUUUUUUUGCAUGUCUUACUACCAAUGGCUCCACCUGGACCUGCCAACCAUGGCUCCAUUUGGACCCGUCUACUGCUCCUGUGGCCCCACCAGAGGUGACUCAGUGCACAUAAGGACCAUUUCCACAGCUCU
rnacentral:lncRNA from 1 species